UAAACAGCAGCCAGAGAUCCUCAAAGCAGUACAUUGCUUUGCUUCCAGGUGGUUGCUCCUGUCUGCAUCUCCAAGCUCGGGGCAUACCGGCCAUCAGUGGCGGAUUGGCCAUCAGGACGUUCGGGACGAAUCCCGAUGGGCCGCUCGGCCCACUUCGGUACCGGCAGGGGCGGACUGGCCAUCUGUAGAAUCACCGAACGGACGGGUCGGUUCGCUGUUUUUAAACGGCAUCAUUGAAGUUGCGCUGACAGGCGACAGAGGUCCACCGUUUCCCAGUCCGCCCCUGCCGGCCAUCAUCUACUCUAGGGAGUUCUCCCCUGACAGCUGGACACUACAUGAUAGCAGAGGACUUGAAUGUUGUCGACGCCCUGAUGCUGAUGUGUGCAGCAUAUUACUGCGUCAACAUCAGUUAUCGCUCAGAACUGGGAGCUACCCUGGA